AGCCAUUGAAACUGUAUUACUUGAGUAAUCUUGAGGUAGGCGGAAUGUGUAGUGUAGCGGUGAAAUGCUUAGAUAUUACACAGAACACCGAUUGCGAAGGCAGCUUACUAAGGAUUUACUGACGCUGAUGCACGAGAGCGUGGGGAUCAAACAGGAUUAGAUACCCUGGUAGUCCACGCCGUAAACGAUGAUAACUCGCUGUUGGCGAUACACAGUCAGCGGCUUAGCGAAAGCGUUAAGUUAUCCACCUGGGGAGUACGCUCGCAAGAGUGAAACUCAAAGGAAUUGACGGGGGCCCGCACAAGCGGAGGAACAUGUGGUUUAAUUCGAUGAUACGCGAGGAACCUUACCUGGGCUUAAAUGUGCUGUGACCGCUGGAGAAAUUCGGCUUUUCGCAAGAACAGAGUACAAGGUGCUGCAUGGUUGUCGUCAGCUCGUGCCGUGAGGUGUCGGGUUAAGUCCCAUAACGAGCGCAACCCUUAUUGUCAGUUGCUAACAGGUUAAGCUGAGGACUCUGGCGAGACUGCCACCGUAAGGUGUGAGGAAGGUGGGGAUGACGUCAAACCAGCACGGCCCUUAUGUCCAGGGCUACACACGUGUUACAACGGCCAGUACAAAGGGCAGCUACCAGGCGACUGGAUGCUAAUCUCUAAAGCUGGUCUCAGUUCGGAUCGGAGUCUGCAACCCGACUCCGUGAAGCUGGAUUCGCUAGUAAUCGCGCAUCAGCCAUGGCGCGGUGAAUACGUUCCCGGGCCUUGUACACACCGCCCGUCAAACCAUGGGAGUUGGGGGUACCUGAAGUAUGUGACCGCAAGGAGCGUCCUAGGGUAAAACCGAUGACUGGGGUU
rnacentral:rRNA from 1 species